rnacentral:rRNA from 1 species
AACGAACGCUGGCGGCAUGCCUAACACAUGCAAGUCGAACGAGACCUUCGGGUCUAGUGGCGCACGGGUGAGUAACGCGUGGGAAGUUGCCAUUAGGUUGGGAACAACUUGCCGAAAGGGGUUCUAAUAUCGGAUAAUUUCUUCGGACCAAAGAUCGGUCGCCUUUGGAUGGGCGCGCGUUGGAUUAGCUUGUUGGUAGGGUAAAAGCCUAUCAAGGCGACGAGCCAUAGCUGGUCAGAGAGGAUGAUCAGACACACUGGCACUGAGACACGGCCCAGACUCCUACGGGAGGCAGGCGUGGGGAAUAUUGGACAAUGGGCGAAAGCCUGAUCCAGCAAUGCCGGGUAAGUGAUGAAGGCCUUAGGGUUGUAAAGCACUUUUACCCGGGAUGAUAAUGACGGUACCGGGAGAAUAAGCUCCGGCUAACUCCGUG